CUUCUUUUCUUUUUCUUUUCUCUGCGGCGUCAUCUCUUUCUUUUCCCGAAUCCUUUCUAUCUACAAACUGUUCUUCUGUUUCUUUUUUCUUCUUCAAUCCUUCGUGAAACUUAUCCAUAGCCACUCAAUCUGAUGAAGGAAUUGAAGAAAACGGCGAAGAAGAUGAAGGAAUUGAAGGAAAAAAGAGCUCGAAGUCUAUUUACAUUUAUAGUUAUGGAUCUGUGAUUUCAGAUUAGGGUUUCGUUUUAUGAGGAAUAUUGUGUGUUUGUUUCGAUCUAGAGUUUAUUUUUGUUCUUGAUGAUUUUGAUUUAGUGUUUUGAAUAAGUUUUUAGGUUUUCUAUGAUUUAGGGUUCUUAUUGUUCUUAUUCUUCUUCUUUUACAGUAUUUUUCGUGGUUGUAUUUAUUCCAUCUUCAGAUUCUCUUCAGAUCUAGAUUCAGUUUAACUCGGUGUUAUUAACUCAGUCGAACUCGGUACAACUCACUCAGUAGUACAUAGUUUACGUAGUAUAAUUCAUGUAUAACUCGGUAUGACUGAGUAUAACUUAGUAUAACUUAGCAUGACUGAGUACAACUUAGUAUAACUUGGCAUGACAGAUUAUAACUCAGUAUAACUACACUCGGUAGUACUCAGUAUAACUAAUUAUAAUCUGGUAUAACUACAUUCAGUAGUACUAAGUAUAACUCAAGUAUAACUUAACAUCAAUAUUACCCAGUAGAACGAAGUAUAACCCAGUAAAACUAAGUUAAACUAUACAGUAUAAUGUAGUAUCCGAAAUUUGAAAAUUUUGAAAAUUUGAAAAUUUGAAAAUUUAAAAAUUUGAAAAUUUGAAAUUUGAAUUUCUUUUUUUAUGAUUUAAAUUAAUAAUUUCAAAAAUGCAAAAGGGCAAAAUCGGAUAUUCAUGUUUCAUUAAAGUAAUAUGUGUAUAGGAGAUUUGAGAGGCCCAUAGGAGAUUGGCUCUACCACAAGUGGGG
rnacentral:lncRNA from 1 species